UAAAACUUUUUAUAUGUUUAAUUUUCUCGAACUUAGAAGAGCGAUCUGGUUAUAAAUUUUAUUAUUGAAUAAAUAUUUAAAAUAUCCGGUUAGUAAUGAAAUGUUAUGCGUUUCUAAAUAUAUCUAGUUUUCUUAGAAAUAAAUUUAAUUUAGCUUGGUUAUUAAUAUUGAUUAAAUAGAUAAUUAAUUUUAUUAGCAGAGUAAUGCAUUAGGGGAUGAGCUUUGGUGUAAAUUAUUAUAAGGAGUUUACGGUUAGAUAAAAUGAAUAGGAUUAGAAGUUUCCAUUUUUAUAAGGGUGUUAUAACUGAUUUUGUUUAAUAUUUUAUUUCUAUUAACUUUAAGUUUUGUAUUUGAAUAUAGUUUUGAAUUUGAUUUUGUUGGUAAAAAUGAUAAAAUUAGUAUAGUUUAUUUUACGUUUAAGGGUGAUUUUAAGGUUAGUGAAAGGAAUUCGGCAAAUAAUUUUCCGCCUGUUUAUUAAAAACAUGGCCUUUUGAUUAUAAUUUUAGGUCUAGCCUGCCCGCUGAGGGGUUGAAUGGCCGCGGUACUCU
rnacentral:rRNA from 1 species